ACACCAUAGCUUUUUGACUGCUACAUUCCAAACACUUAUCCCUCGCUGCAUAUGUUUCAUACUUUUGCGAUCCGUAGGUCAUAGACAAGCCCUAAAAUGACAAUCGCAUGUCGGGUGGUCCGAUUUUUAUGUUAUUAUGACCAGCUAUUUAGCGUCUGUUGACAUGACACAACAGUGCUACGCUGUGGAACGGAGUAGUCUAGAAAUGGAACAGAUCGUUCUUCACCGUUGAAAAGGGAAUCUGGCUAGACUAGACUAAGCCAUCGAUUGAAGGUUGACUGACGUAGCUGAAACGUUUGCAGCACGUGAGGUGAACGUGAGUGGCACCGGUAUGGAAGCCAGUGCAUCCAGGAGUUUGUUUAAAAAUGUUGAAUCGUUUCAGUGAAAACGGUUUCGGUAAGCUUUUCGCCUGAAAUGCGGUAUAUUUCAUUACAUCAAGCGCUAGUCAACGGGUAUUAAGCCCACAUUGCUUGGCAACGCGGCUCGAUAAUUGAUUUAGCACCGACCACAGAAUGGCGCUCAAGAACAGUAAAACGGGCCUCCCUAUAAUAGAAGCUGCUGCUGCUGCUACUACUAUUCCAGCAUCUGUUCCGAAAUAUUCCUGCACCGCCAGCCCUCGGACCCGUAUAGCCUUAAGAUUUAUGAUCGCCCAGCGUUCAAGGAUAUGUUUCUGUUUUAAUUAGAAUCUUCCCACCGCACCUUACUGUGAAAGGAUGCAAGUGGCCGUACUGAUGAGCGGAAUAUGUUGCAGAACUAAAGCCGCCAACGCACAAAUUUUAUGAUGCCGCGUUUAUUACCCUACGGUAAUGCUGUUCAUACGGUAGGAUUUAGGGGCUCGUUCGUUAGGGUAGUUUAUCGUUAACGGAGGCCGUGCGGUAUCAUCCACAUCGUUAUCAUCGUUCUAUACCGCAUACCGUCGUGCCCUGGAAGUUGUUGAUUUAAUUAAAUUCCUUAAUCAUAUCGAUGAGCAAUUUAAUAAACGCCACCGAGCCAACGCGGUCAAAUUUCGCCGUAGACCCAAUCGAUUUGGUGUCCCACCCGCCAACCCGAUAAUCCUUCCGUAGAAUGGCUCGAAAUAAUUCCAAUACAUAAUAUUCUCUAUUUGAAAGCUCACUGGUCACAUUCAUUCAGGUCCUUGCUCUUCACUUGAAUCGUUUCGUAAAAGUUUAGCAUUCUUUUCACUUUCUAAGCAGUCCCAAGCAGGGACGCUGAAUGACCUUUUUUGCCUUUUUUUCGUACGGUCAUUUGUUGCUUAUCCGAAUCACUCGACCGGCCACCACAAAUCUCCUUCAACCGGAACGGAAGGAUCGUUUGAUAUUGUACUAUGGGGAGGAAGAUUUCCCUUCUAUGCCUCAUUAAACACUUUAAUGCCUCCCGAGAUAUCCCACGGGGUUGGUGUAAUUGAAUUUGCACUGUACGCUACUGAACGCGCGAACCGUAGCAACACAAUCGAACGUCUCGGGAGUGAUUAAUCAGGGUCGGGUUUGUUUGUGGUUGUCCUGAGCUUAGUAUGGGGCAGAAUUUCUGAGGAAAGAGCAGCGCAGGACAAACCUGAGGUCACGGUCGUAGAAUGGCAAGCUAUAAUGAAUUUAGUGUGUAGUAGCAGCUUUGUAGCAACAGCAUUCAGCAGAUAGUAGGCAACGCAGUUUGAGUAGAGUUCGAAGUAUGGGUUUGGAGGGAGUUCUGGUGAAGGAUCUACAAAGUAUAAUGUAUCCGGCAAUUUAAGAAAGGCCAAAUAUGGAUUAAAAAAAUCAGAAAGCGUUAUUAAAACUCUAGCACGUGUUCUCUGAGUGAUCCGAAAAAAAACGGGAUAGCUGAAAUAAACCGGUUUACGUCAAUUACUUCCGAAUAGAAAAAAUACAAUGAAAUAAGAAUGAUAAAAAAAUAGGAAAAUCAACAAUUUAUAUAUAAUCUAGUUGACGCUAGCAACACCAUAUCCUUACUACUUGAGAAAAUACGCAACAGUCGUUAGGCAUAACAAAACACUUGUAUAAGUCAAAUAAAAAUUCAAAUAAUUCUCUUGAAUAGAGAAAAUUGGUCGCUGUAUGAUGACUGUUGAUUGGGCCGGUAACGUUUUACAAAAUUGAUAAAUAUUAUUGAUAA